GAGGGUUUAGCUCAGUGGUAGAGCGCUUGCCUAGCAAGCGAAAGGCCCUGGGUUCGGUCCCUAGCUCC
rnacentral:tRNA from 1 species